rnacentral:lncRNA from 1 species
CGCGCCACGGUCGGGUGCGGCGACGGUCGGCGCAGAGCUCAGCCCUCAACCACUCCCCCAGCUUGAUCUGCGAGGCGGCUCCCCACGUCUGACGCGUGGCAGCCGAAGCGGGUGUUACUCUGAUGGAGUCACAGAGUGGCACGGGGCACCCGGGGCAGAGAAUGAGGUCACAGAAGGAUGCCUCGAGUUUGGGAGGCCCCGGGGGCAGGCGGGAGUCAGACCAGGCCACCCGGCAGAGGAGGGACUCCCGGACGCGCCAGGGCCCAGGGCUUCGUUGGAACUUUGGAGGCGGCGGAGGGGAGAGCAGGUGGCAGGUGUGUGAUGUCCUCCUUCCCAUGAUAAUGAUGUCACCGAGCUGGCAGAGGCGGGUCAACACGAGGGAGGCAAAGACGCUGACAACCUACAGGCAAACUGGGGAAAUGUUUGCAGCCGAGUGAAAGUGACCAGCCUCCCAGAGGCUGGGAAGUUGCCUGCCUGCCCUUUUUGUGUUUAUCUUGUUAAGUACUGACAGACUUAAAAUAUAGACCCCUAGAGGGCAAGAUUCAUAUCUAUACGGAGUGUGCUGCAGAACAUACACUCAUGCCUCAUACUCUUCUGCACAAAUUAUUUUUGACGGUGAGUGUUCUGUUUAAUUACUUCUCGGUUUCUUCCUUAAUUUUUC